rfam:Trichobilharzia regenti genome assembly, scaffold: TRE_scaffold0006923
GCGUCGGUGGCAUAGAGGUUAGGACGCUCGGCAACCAUGCAUUUGGUCCGGGGUUCGAUUCCCGGCCGACGCA